UACAGAGGUCUCAAGCGUUACGCGGAAUCAUUGGGUUUAAAGGGUCCGUAGGCGGGUCGAUAAGUCAGUGGUGAAAGUCUGCAGCUCAACUGUAGAACUGCCAUUGAUACUGUUGUCCUUGAGUUAUUGUGAAGUGGUUGGAAUAUGUAGUGUAGCGGUGAAAUGCAUAGAUAUUAUAUAGAACACCGAUUGCGAAGGCAGAUCACUAACAAUGAACUGACGCUGAUGGACGAAAGCGUAGGUAGCGAACAGG
rnacentral:misc_RNA from 1 species